rnacentral:misc_RNA from 1 species
AGAGGAGCGUGCUGGUAGGAAGCUGGGUGGCCUUAAGGUUCUUAACUCUUAUUGGCUCAACGAGGUGCGUGCAUUGGUUGAACUUUUGUUAAGCCUUAUUUGUAUAGAUUUCAAUUGUCAAUUCUUAUAGCAUUUGUCCUGGUGCUAAUGAUGGGAAACAGCUAAGGUGUCUAUGAAUUUUUUAUUGGUUUGAAUUCAAUGAAUGUGUUGGUAAUAUUGAGAUGAUGGGGAAUCUUGAACAAGCUAAUUAUUCUGUAGAGGAUUUUCCAAAACAUUCUCAUCGGAGACUUAGUGUUGUGGCAAUUUGCAUGUGCAGAAGUUGAGAGCCUGUGAUUUGUGAUAGGGAUCCUGAUCCUAGCUAUUAUAAAAUAUCUAUGUAAUUCUGUCAUGCAGGAUUCAACAUACAAGUACUAUGAGGUUAUCUUGGUUGAUCCUGCACACAAU